AAGCACUCCGCCUGGGGAGUACGGUCGCAAGACUGAAACUCAAAGGAAUUGACGGGGGCCCGCACAAGUGGUGGAGCAUGUGGUUUAAUUCGAAGCAACGCGAAGAACCUUACCAGGUCUUGACAUCCUCUGACAACCCUAGAGAUAGGGCGUUCCCUUCGGGGACAGAGUGACAGGUGGUGCAUGGUUGUCGUCAGCUCGUGUCGUGAGAUGUUGGGUUAAGUCCCGCAACGAGCGCAACCCUUGAUCUUAGUUGCCAGCAUUCAGUUGGGCACUCUAAGGUGACUGCCGGUGACAAACCGGAGGAAGGUGGGGAUGACGUCAAAUCAUCAUGCCCCUUAUGACCUGGGCUACACACGUGCUACAAUGGAUAGUACAAAGGGUUGCAAGACCGCGAGGUGGAGCUAAUCCCAUAAAACUAUUCUCAGUUCGGAUUGUAGGCUGCAACUCGCCUACAUGAAGCCGGAAUCACUAGUAAUCGCGGAUCAGCAUGCCGCGGUGAAUACGUUCCCGGGCCUUG
rnacentral:rRNA from 2 species